rnacentral:rRNA from 1 species
UGGGGAAUAUUGGGCAAUGGGCGCAAGCCUGACCCAGCAACGCCGCGUGAGGGAAGAAGGCCUUCGGGUUGUAAACCUCUGUCCUUAGGGACGAAAAAAAUGACGGUACCUAAGGAGGAAGCUCCGGCUAACUACGUGCCAGCAGCCGCGGUAAUACGUAGGGAGCAAGCGUUGUCCGGAAUUACUGGGCGUAAAGGGUGCGUAGGCGGCUUGGCAAGUCAGAUGUGAAAUCCCCGGGCUUAACUCGGGGGGUGCAUUUGAAACUGCUGAGCUUGAGUGCAGGAGAGGAAAGCGGAAUUCCUAGUGUAGCGGUGAAAUGCGUAGAUAUUAGGAGGAACACCAGUGGCGAAGGCGGCUUUCUGGACUGUAACUGACGCUGAGGCACGAAAGCGUGGGGAGCAAACA